rnacentral:lncRNA from 1 species
CGAGACCUUCGUUCCCCAGACCACCCAAAAGCCAGAAGAGCAAGAGCCAAGGUUCAUCCCUGAAACCCAAAAUGGUUAUGGCCUUUACGGCCACGAGUCAGGCUCAGGCUCAAGCCGGCCCAGUUUCACCACCAAAGAAACCUAUGAACCCUAUGUCACCCCUGUUAGAUUCCACCCUGAUGAACCCUAUAACAGCAUCCCCGAAUCCUCCAACAAUAAAGACACUUACUACUACAACAAGAAUGCCUACAAGUCCACUAAGCAGCAAAACUUGGGCGAGGCCAUUUUCACCGAGAAAGGAUGGAGCACCAAGGAAAACCAGAACAACAACUACUACAACGGCAACAUUAAUGGCGAGAAGCAAGGCAUGAGCGAUACUAGGUACUUGGAGAAUGGAAAGUACUACUAUGACGUCAAGAGUGAGAACAGCUAUUAUCCAAACCAGCUCGACAACUCAAGAGGAGUUGCUUCCAGGAACGAGUUCGAUGAGAAUCGUUACAACAACAUGGGAAGGUACCACCAGAACCAAGAGGAGUUCGAGGAAAGCGAGGAAGAGUUCGAAC